rnacentral:tRNA from 1 species
AGAGAGUUAGUCUAACAAAGACAGCUGAUUUCGGCUCAACAAAUCAUAGUCCUACCCUAUGACUCUCUU